ACCGGAAGAGCACUACCUUCUUAUUAAUAUAUUAUUGUCGUGCCGCCGCCGCCGCGCAUCUCCCUCUCUUUGCUUAUCUCCGGCGUGUUCUUCUUUGUCGGUGGCAUCGGGAUCGUCAUCGCCAUUGUCGUGCUCCUUCGCCCCCCGCGGACUGUGCAGGUUUUGGUGUUCCGGUGUGGGAGAGCUGAGGACACGCUUAGGAACUUCCGGUCGAGAUCUAGCGUUGGUGGCGGUGCUGGGUUGGAGGAUCGGCCGAAGCUGCUGGGCUUGGAUCCGCUGAUCGUCGGGCUGCGCUUCGGAGCACUUGGUUCCCUUCCGAUCCGGAGGCUCUAGCUCGGUCACAUGCAGAGAAAUAGUGAGUGUAGGUUGUUGGUGAUAAAUCGGUGACAGCCAGGACCACUGGGGAGUUUGAGAGUUUUAUUUGCAUUUCGUGCGAUUUGAUGGGGAGAAAGUAGUUGAGUUCUCAAUUGUUUGUUGGUAAAGAGAAGGUAUCACCUCUUUACCAACAAACGCUUCAACAGACACUUGACCAAGUCCAAGAUCGUGAGGAGAGGCUUCAACAGACACUUGCCAAGUACAAGAUAAUAACAAGGAGCUUCAACAAAGUUUGCUUGAAAUGAAAGAGGAGAGGGACCAAUAUCGUGCGGAGAUGAUGCGUCAAAUGAAGGACAUGAUGAUGAAUUUUUGAGAGGAGGAU